UAGUCAUAUGCUUGUCUCAAAGAUUAAGCCAUGCAUGUCUAAGUACAAGCCUCACUAAGGUGAAACCGCGAAUGGCUCAUUAAAUCACACCUAAUCUACUGGAUAGUUAACAGUUACUUGGAUAACUGCGGUAAUUCUGGAGCUAAUACAUGCACAAAGCCCCGAACUUACGUGAGGGGCGCUUUUAUUAGAUCAAAACCAAACGGCUUCGGCUGUAUCCUUGGUGACUCUGAAUAACUUUGGGCUGAUCGCAUGGCCUAGCGCCGGCGACAUAUCCUUCGAAGGUGUGCCCUAUCAACUGUCGACUGUGGCAUAGACGCCCACAGUGGUUUUGACGGGUAACGGGGAAUCAGGGUUCGAUUCCGGAGAGGGAGCCUUAAAAACGGCUACCACAUCUAAGGAAGGCAGCAGGCACGCAAAUUACCCAAUGACCGAAGGUCGAGGUAGUGACAAAAAAUAACGAUACGGGACUCAUCUGAGGCCCCGUAAUCCGAAUGAGUACACUUUAAAACCGUCCCCGAAGAUCUAUU
rnacentral:rRNA from 1 species